CGCAGGUUCAGAACAAAGGGCUUGAGCAAGAGGACGAAGCCCAGGGCCCAACGGGGACAGCAGGAGUGGAAACAGGGGAAGACGCCAGGGGCAUGGGCAGAGCUCCUGACCCCAGGAUGGACCUCUCUGUGCUGUCAAGUCACAGGGAGGCCCAGGCUGCCCUCUCCACUGCCCCCGGGGUGACCUGAACCGUGCAGAACGCUGAACAAAUCAACGCCCUUUCCAGGGAAGCGGAAUCCAAAGUCAGAGCCUGUUCCUCCACUUUUGAGAGGCACCAGGAUGUGCCUCUCGCUUGCCCAAACCCCCAGACUCGGGACUCAGGGCUGGGCUCUCUGCGCAUGAGCUAAUGCCGCACGCAGCACAGGGUGGCCAAGAACAGGACUCUGUCCCCUGUCCCACAUGAGCGCCACCUCCAAGCCUGCCUACCGUGGACCACUGUCAAGGUGAACGCCCGGGGGGAUGGCCCUCGUGGGACCACGUGAGGUGCAAGAGUCCCACGGGAUCACCAGAUAUAAAGAAUGUUCCCGGUGCGAUGUGAAUUUCAGGUAGGACCAUAUGAAACUGCUGUAAACCA
ensembl:lncRNA novel transcript, antisense to NDUFS7